UUGAAAGGGAAACGAUUGAAGUCAGUCAUACCAACGGGAAAUCAACCUUUUGAUCUUGGUUUCGUGGGUUUUGAAGAGUAUCAAAGCCUUCGGAUUCGCGAGAUUGGGAUCUCUUGGUGUACUUUUUCGUACGGUUAGUCAACAUCGGUUUUGAAUGUCAUAAAAUGACUGGAGGAAUGUAGCUUCGAUCUCGUAUUGAAGUGUUAUAGCCUUUGGUAGAUGUGAUGUUUGAGACCGAGGAUUGCAACGGAUACCCUUUAGGGCUAUUCGUCUGAUCUCUGAUACGUUGCCUUGAUGUUGAAAGCUUGCUUAUGAUGUUAGGSUAUUACGGUCAAAAGGUUAGAACGAAUUACAUUCGUUAAGGAUGUUGACGUA
rnacentral:rRNA from 1 species